UGAAGGUGUUUGUUGCUGCCUCUGCA
rnacentral:piRNA from 1 species